rnacentral:rRNA from 1 species
UCCGUAGGUGAACCUGCGGAAGGAUCAUUAACGA